rnacentral:rRNA from 1 species
AUUGAACGCUGGCGGCAGGCUUAACACAUGCAAGUCGAGCGGAGAUGAGGUGCUUGCACCUUAUCUUAGCGGCGGACGGGUGAGUAAUGCUUAGGAAUCUGCCUAUUAGUGGGGGACAACAUUCCGAAAGGAAUGCUAAUACCGCAUACGUCCUACGGGAGAAAGCAGGGGAUCUUCGGACCUUGCGCUAAUAGAUGAGCCUAAGUCGGAUUAGCUAGUUGGUGGGGUAAAGGCCUACCAAGGCGACGAUCUGUAGCGGGUCUGAGAGGAUGAUCCGCCACACUGGGGCUGGGACACGGCCCGGACUCCUACGGGAGGCAGCAGUGGGGAAUAUUGGACAAUGGGGGAGACCCUGAUCCAGGCAUGCCGCGUGUGUGAAGAAGGCCUUAUGGUUGUAAAGCACUUUAAGCGAGGAGGAGGCUACUGAGACUAAUACUCUUGGAUAGUGGACGUUACUCGCAGAAUAAGCACCGGCUAACUCUGUGCCAGCCGCCGCGGUAA